GGCUAAUGUCUUCAGUCUGGGAACACAAGAGUUUCCUUUUUAACUGUACAGGAAUGUUGAACACAGGACUGGCAGAAGGUGAAGCAUCAUAGAGACCAAGACUUUAGUUUUAACACAGAGCGUUGCUGUAAAUCUCCUGAAAAUUCACUUGGCACUCGACGUGCCGCAGGUUUUCGGAAGUGUGGAUGCAUUAAUCACAGCAAUACCUACCCAGCAUAGUGUAACCAGGGUGUCAGGAGUGCUGGACUCCUCAGGACAGGAAAGACUUGGACCUGUUGCAACGAAUCCAGAAGAGGGCCACUGGAAUGAUCAGAGGACUGGAGCACAUCUCCUGUGAGGACAGGCUGACAGAGUUGGGAUUGCUCAGUCUGGACAAGAGAAGGACCUGGGAAGACCUUAUAGCCCUCCAGUACCUGAGGGUGUGCUUUCUGAUAAGAAAGAUGGGGAUAAACUUUUUCACUUGGGCCAGCAGCAAUAGAGCAAGAGGCACUGCUAAGUUUUGGAACAGGACUGCAACUGUGAUGGAGCAAUAAAAAAUGUUGAAGUAAAUGAGAAUGAUU